rnacentral:rRNA from 1 species
UACGAAGGGGGCUAGCGUUGUUCGGAUUUACUGGGCGUAAAGCGCACGUAGGCGGAUAUUUAAGUCAGAGGUGAAAUCCCAAGGCUCAACCUUGGAACUGCCUUUGAUACUGGGGAUCUUGAGUCCGGGAGAGGUGAGUGGAACUGCGAGUGUAGAGGUGAAAUUCGUAGAUUAUUCGCAAGAACACCAGUGGCGAAGGCGGCUCACUGGCCCGGUACUGACGCUGAGGUGCGG